rnacentral:rRNA from 1 species
CAGUCGCCACGGGAACACGGAGGGUGCAAGCGUUAAUCGGAAUUACUGGGCGUAAAGCGCACGCAGGCGGUCUGUCAAGUCGGAUGUGAAAUCCCCGGGCUCAACCUGGGAACUGCAUUCGAAACUGGCAGGCUAGAGUCUUGUAGAGGGGGGUAGAAUUCCAGGUGUAGCGGUGAAAUGCGUAGAGAUCUGGAGGAAUACCGGUGGCGAAGGCGGCCCCCUGGACAAAGACUGACGCUCAGGUGCGAAAGCGUGGGGAGCAAACAGGAUUAGAUACCCCGGUAGUCCCUGUCUCUUAUAA